rnacentral:rRNA from 1 species
UACGGGGGGGGCAAGCGUUGUUCGGAAUUACUGGGCGUAAAGCGCGUGUAGGCGGCUAUUUAAGUCGGGCGUGAAAUCCCACGGCUCAACCGUGGAAGUGCACCCGAAACUGCGUAGCUAGAGUCCUGGAGAGGAAGGUGGAAUGCUUGGUGUAGAGGUGAAAUUCGUAGAUAUCAAGCGGAACACCGGUGGCGAAGGCGGCCUUCUGGACAGUGACUGACGCUGAGACGCGAAAGCGUGGGGAGCAAACAGG